AAUCAACGCUGGCGGCGUGCCUAACACAUGCAAGUCGCACGAGAAAGGGCAGCAAUGCCUGAGUACAGUGGCGCACGGGUGAGUAACACGUGAAUGAUCUACCUCCGAGUGGGGAAUAACUGAGAGAAAUCUUAGCUAAUACCGCAUAACACUUACGAGUCAAAGCAGCAAUGCGCUUGGAGAGGAGUUCGCGGCAGAUUAGUUAGNGGCGGGGUAAUGGCCCACCAAGACGAUGAUCUGUAUCCGGCCUGAGAGGGCGCACGGACACACUGGAACUGAACACGGUCCAGACUCCUACGGGAGGCAGCAGUGGGGAAUUUUGCGCAAUGGGGGAAACCCUGACGCAGCAACGCCGCGUGGAGGAUGAAAUCCCUUGGGAUGUAAACUCCUUUCGAUCGGGAAGAUAAUGACGGUACCGAGAGAAGAAGCCCCGGCUAACUUCGUGCCAGCCGCCGCA
rnacentral:rRNA from 1 species